rnacentral:lncRNA from 1 species
AAGGUUUACUGUCUGAAUCUCUUUUUUUUUUUUUAGAAUUUGGUAACAGAUUUGGAAUAUGAAUGUAGGGUUUUAAAAAUUCAUUUCGCUACAUUGUAUAAUAAAAAUAUCUGAAUCAUAGCAUUUAAAGGGAUCUUGAGCAGGCAAGUUCUCUCUGGCUGGACAGAUAUCUACCUAUCUCAGAGAAGUUGAGAACCACUGUCCUAGUCUGAAGGAACCUCUUGUGGAACAUUGGCAAGACCCUUACUGAGCAGAAGCCUAGCACCCUGAGCAUCCAGGAGAAGAAAAUAUUUGUGAUCUACGGGCUCAGUGAAGAAUUAUGGAGGACUUCAGGAUCUAGAAGGAAGCUUUGCAUGGAUUAGAUAAUUCAAUAAUAUUUAUCAAAUCAAAGUUGGGAGUCAAAAGAGAAUUUGGAAGCUUUGAUCAUCAGGAAAGAAGAUGGAGUUUAUUGACCCAAUGGAAGAGAAAAGCCACUUUUCUGUAAAGUGUAAGGCGUGGUAUCCAAGGCUACUCUCUGGAGACGACCAUAGGCUUCACCUGGGAGUUGUGAGAAAUGCAAACUCUCAACCCCAUCCCAGACCCUCUGAAUCAAAAGCUGCAUUUUAAAACAUGUCCUGUGCACAUUAAGCUUUAAGAGGCAUGGUUUUAGAGCACAGGCUUUGUAUCCCUGGAAUCAAAGUUCAAGUCUUUCACUUAUCAGCUAUACAAACUUAAGCAAGACAUGCGAAGUUUUUGAGACUCACUGUUUCUGUGAAACAGGCAUAUUCAUAUACACUACCUACUAGAGUUGUGAAGUUCAAAUGAACAAAAAAGAAUAUUGGACACAAGUCAUGGUGCCUGACUUUAUACAGUAAGAGUUUAAUUGUUUGAUGCUAUUAUUUUCUGAAAUUUCCAUCUCUUCAUUCAGGAAAAAAUGUUGGUUGGACAACGGACAAUCACCUCCUAUCAAAUCCAUAAUUUGAAGAUUGACUAAGUCACCUACUUUGCAUUCAGAUGUUGAUAAUUAUCAAGCCAGCCUAGGUUAAAACAAGUUUUUUACCUUUUACAAAUAUAUUUUUUUAAGAAUUGUGUAUCUUGGGGACAAAACAUUAUAAUAAGGUUAAUGAGAAAAGGAGCAACACAAAUCUGUUUUCAUUAAUCUUAACAGAGCUUUAAUCACAGCACAGGGGGAAACAGCUGCUCUGGAAGGGAGACUAGGAGCAGAUCAGUAGAAGCUGAUUAUCCAUUAAUGAGAGGGCUUUGGUGGGGAGCCCUGUGGAAAACCCACCAGACUCAAUCCUGCCAGCCAUUUGCUGAAGAGGUGGUGUAUAUGAAUCGCUUGUUUGAUGUAAAAAAUUCAAAACAGAUUCUUCUCAGCAGCCUGGGGACUGUCAUACAUCACUGAUCUCUUAUCUGUUUAUGUUAAGGAAAUAGCAUCCUUCAGUAAGUAAAUGUGUGUGGUAUUUAAUUAAACUCAUUGCUGAGCUCUGUGUGUGUGUGGCUAGUCCUCAUUUGGGGAUUAUCGGACUGUUGCAUUUUGCCUUUUUUCUCAUUUUUUCCUUCUUCUAGCAUUUCUUCCUCCAGCUCAGAAUUGCAGGAGCUUUAUGUUAUAUGGAGUAUCAUGGGAAGUACUUUAGCAUUUUUUUUAUUGCACACAUUAUUUAGAAAAGGAAACUGAGGCUCAGAGAGCUGAAGUCACUUGUCCAAUGUCCUCUAGCUUAAAGAAUUAUAUUAUUUAAACCUAGGUUCUGGGUGGUUUCAUAGCCUAAGCUUGUAACCACUUAUGCAAUAUGUGUAUAAAGUAAAAACUAACUAUGGUAUAUUGCGGUGGUUCUCAGAGUUAGUCCCCAGACCAGCAGCAUCAGCAUUGCCUGGGGACUUGUUAGAAAUACAAAUUGUUGGGCCCUGCCACAGAUCUAUCAGAAACUUAGGAAUGCAGCCUGGGAAGCCCUCUGAGUGAUUCAAAUGGAUGCUAAAGCUUGAGAGCCAUUGGUAUUUAGUUGGUAUGCUAGGUACUAAGAAUUUAGAAAGACAAAAAAAAAAUCGGUUCUUUGAUUUUGGGGAGUUCAGAGUCUAGUAGAGAAGACUAAAAUAUAAAGACAAUUAUAAUAAUAUUUUAUUAGUGUAUUAUAAGUGCAGUGAGAUAGUAUACACAAAAAAAUAGGAAAGUGCGGAUUAAGAUACUAACCUGGGUGGGAAGUGAAAGCUUAUUGGAAAAUGUGAUGCUUAAACUGAAUCUUAAAGCAUGAGAAGUCUCUGGCUGCAGUGACAGGAGAAAGUAUUUUAGGCAGGGGGACAGCAUAAACAGAAGAUGAAAUGAACAUGAAUACUGUCUAUGAAACAGCAGUCACUUUGGGGAUGCUGGAGUAGGAAGUAUAAUGAAGGAAGCAGUGAUGAGUUCAUGUGGCGGACAGUGAGCUGCCCUCUGUCACUCUGCAAUUUGACCCCCACCUGCUGAAGCUCAGGAGUUUGGCUUCUUGAAGCCCUGGCUUGGAUAUUUUACAGUCAUUUGUCAAUUUAUGGCAUUUACAACUGCCUUGUGGUUCCAGAUGAGGGGCACCACAUAUCACAAAGGCUUGUUCUUCAUGAUCUAUUGAGCACCCAGUAAUUCAUGCACGUUAUUUAUACCACUCACUCAUUUCUCCUUCUUUCUCAUGAAGUCGUCCAUGCCAUUAACAUUAGCUAGCAGACAUCAAGCUGCCUAGUGGAUAAAAUGUUGUUUGACAAGGGCUCAGUGGCUAGGGAUGUAACUCAUAGUUUUUAUCAUAAAUUUCAACUCAAUUAUUUGUUUUCCCAGGUAAUCUAUCAGUGAAUAAUAUACCCACAUCACAGGACUUUGGCCUGUGAAUUUGGUCUGUUUUCCAGACCAGUAUUUUAGCAUGGGCAUGGGUGACAUUUGAGCACUUAAAAUAAAAUAAUGCAGCUACAUUCUCUCUGGCAUGGUGGAAUGAACAUGGAAUUGGGAAUAAGAGAGACCAGGUUUCUAGCCCCAACUCUGUACUUUACAACUGUGUCCACUAAAUGACAUUGGAAGGCCUAUUUGUUAAUCCUGUGAAGCUUCAUUUUUUAAAAAUCUGCAUUGGCUCUCCAAAAUGUGCCUGGAAGUUGCUGCAAUUCUCAGAAUGUCUGAGAAGCUCCCCAACAGUCUUAGUCUGCAGCCAUGAGGCAAAUAAUUCUCAGCAAUUUUCUAGGAAGCUGCUUUGAUACUCACAUGUGCAUGUUCAUCUGGCAGCCACCACCUCCAGAGAAUAAAGCUUCCGAUUUACUUCCACUUUCCAGACUCCACAGAUGUUCCUCUCCUUGGCAAAAUGUAGCCCAGAUCUAAAUGGAAGGUGAUUCUGAGACAUGUAGUUGGCAACCUUAGCAGGACAUGGUGGUGCCACCCGGUUGAUAACAGACAUCUCAGCCCACUUUCCACUACACAGGAGCCAAAUGAUCUUCUUUAAAUCCCAAAACAGAGUAUUUCACAACCAGGCUUCAAAUGACUCAGUGGCUUCCCAUUUCUCUUAGAAUAAAACCCAAAUUCAUCCGGAUGGCCUGAAAAGCUUGUCCAGCCGAUCUCUUCAAUUUCAUCUAAUUCUAGCUUUCCCUUUCAUCAUUAUGUACAGCCAAACUGACUUUUAUUCCUUUUUUUUAACAUGCCAAACAUUUUACCACCUCAAAAUUCUUAUAGUUACUGUUCCUUCUGUUUAGAAUAUCUUCCACCUUGAUUUUUCUUAUCCUUUUAUCUCAACACUCUAAAGAGUCCUCCCCCAGUUUCUUUUUGUCGCCCCUUUUGUUUUCUUCAGUGGAUUUAUUGCAAUCUGCUCUUUUUGUGUGUUUAGUUAUUAUCUGUCACACUCACUGGAAUAUAAGCUCAGUGAAAGCUGGUACUAUAUUUAUCAAUUGCCCCCCUAGUUCUCUGUCUUGGCUUAGUUACCAAUUUUCCUCUUGGAACAUAGAUCAUCAUAGGCUGAAUUUGCUGCUUCAAAUAAUCAGAGGGCAUCAGUUUUUUUAGUGCUCAAGAUCCUAUAGUUAUUGUACCAGCCUUAAUGAAAGUACAAAGGAGAUAAGGGCAAGACGUGCUCUUUGCAAUGCUUAAACAGUUUUAGUAUAUCUCAAGCAAAGAAUCCUAAUAAAUCCAAAAUUCGACAGCUUUUUACUGUUGGUGUUCUACAACCUCUCUUUCCUCUCACUACCUGGAAUAGUCAGAAAUCUCAUGUUAAUUUAUGAACCCUGAUGUCAUCAUCAGGACUGGACUGUGGACUGAAAGAAGAUAAAUACCAAUAAUAAUUACCAAAUGUUGGAUAACUAUCAUAUGCCAACAAUAUGAUAAAUUAUUUAUGAACCUCACAAUAUUGCAUGGAAAAUAAUUAUCUCACUUUUCCAAAUUAUUUUUGUAAUUUUUCUAAUUUUUAAAAUAAUUUUCUAAUAAUUUUUAAAAAUUAUUUUUAUAAAAAUUAAGAACUUGACCAAAGUCACAGAGGUUAUUUGAGGUUAAACUAGGGUUUAAAUCUUGGUCAGUUUGGUUCUAACGCCCAAAUUUACUUCCCUGUUUCUGCCGUAUUCUAGGUCUCUUUUGAUUUUAUAAUACGUUGUGUUCGUGAUAGCAUUAUUUAUCUCACCCUGUAUUCACACUCUUUGUCGUUUUACUCUGGGUUAAGCUGUAAGACUGCUGUUUAGACUGGCUUUGGCCAAUAGAAUGAGGUAGGAGUUCUAGAUCUGAGCCUGGUCCUCACAUGAGUAUGCUCACCCUCUUAUUUGUCUGCCUAGACUAGUUCUUUGGUUUAGGAGAGAAUGAGAGACACAUCAAUGCAGAGCCAUCCUCAACUAGACCCAGCCAUGCUUCUCCAACCCCCCAAAAGGCUAUACUCAUGUGAGAGCUCAUCCAAGUACAGCAGUACAGCCCAGUUGAGCCCAAACAAGAUCAAUGAAGCCUCAGGAAACCAAACACAGUCAAUAAGCCCAACCAAGGUCAGCAGAACAGUCUAGCUGAGCCCAGCCUGGAUAAGCCAAUUCCUAGCUGACUCAUACGCUCAAAAAAAUGAUAAAUGAUUGCCAUUUUAACCAUGGUAUGCCGGGGUUGUUUCUUUCACAGUAAUAACAAAUUGAUACAGACACUAAUUAGCUCUGCAAAUGUGCUUAAAAAUAAUGCUUACAACCAUUUAAUAAGACUUUAUGUAUGAGACACAGUGCAGAACACUUUACAUUCAUUAUCCCUUUAGAUCUUAUUCAAAACCUCUCUGAGGGUUUCACAGAUGAGAAAAAUUAGAUGAAUAGAAAUGAAAUAACUUAGUCAAGUUUACACAGCUUGUUUAAGUGGCAGAGUUGGAAUUUAAACCUAAGUCUAUCUGGCUCUGAAGUUGUUCUUUUUUUGUUUUACCAGGUUGACUUUAUUCAUAAUCUAGACUUCACAUAGAAAAUAAUCAGCUGUGUGAAUAUGACUGAGUUCUCUGGGUCCAUUUUCUUCAACUACAAACUAGAGGGAACUAAAUAUCUUUUUUUCUUCUUACCUUCUUUGGUUCUAUGUUCCUACAUACAAAAGUUAUUUGAGGGCAGUUGGAGUUAAAGCAUGUAUGCAGUUUGAUGAUAAUGAUGAUGACGAUGACAAUGACAACAUAUAUCACAGAGAUGAAAGCAUGGACAUACUUUUUCCAAGAAAGAGAACUAAGACAAUUGUUGCAAGUGAGUGUAAAAAUUAACUCUGAAAACUUAUAUGUAAAACAGAGGAAUAAAUCUGGGCCACAAAAUCUUCCUUUCUAAUGCAAUAAACAACAACAACAACAGCAACAAAAAAGUGUCAGCCAAGAAUAUCAAAUUUAUCAAAUAAGCAAGAAACUAGAUAUAACGUGGGGCUUCAAAGAGCGGAUUUCAAGAUCUCAGCAGAGGCACAUGCCUUUGUGCACUCUUCUGCCCUCUCUCCUAUCUCUAUAUGCAACACAUAUACAAAGGACAUCUCUCUCUAUAUAUCUAUAUCUCAUACACAUAAACUAUCAUAUAUGUGCCAUUAUAUGUAUAUAUAUUCACAUACAUAUUCCAUAUAAAAUAUGGAUUCAAUAAUUAAGAGUUAAAAUAUGACUAAAUAAGAGAAUAAUAUGAAAAAGGAGAUAGAUGACAAAAUAAUACCAUUGUAGAACUAAUAUGUAAAUUAGGAACAACAAGAAACAGAUGAGACAUAUCAGGAAAUUGAAAUUAGUUACAAAAGAAAGCUUCGUGGUAUCAUAGGAAUUGUCAAUAAAGGGCUCUUAAAAAAUAAAAAGUUCUUAGAGACUUGACAAUACAUAGUGUGGUUACAUCGAACAGAACUGCAGCCACCCAGGCAUAAAGGGAAAUUUGCUUAUAAGGAGGAAAAUCAAAUUUACCUCAAUGUUCUCUGUAGCACCAAUUAUGCCAGAAGACAAUUGAGCCAAGUUUGCAUAAUUCUAAAAGAAAAUUAAACACAGUGUAAAAGUAUAUCAAAUACAAAGUCACAGGGAGAUAUUCUUGAACAAGAGCCCUUCUUAGCAAAAAUAAUUGAUGAAAUCCUGUAAACCAAAAAGGCAUUGUGAAGAGAACUAGCAAAGUAGUAAAGAAAUAUGUGUAAGCAGUUCAGAAAUACUUUUGCUGCCAGUGCAAUUCCUUUAUCUUUUGAUAAGUUAGAAAAAGUAUUUUAAAUAAUAUGAAAUAUAGUCCAUAACAGAAAUAUUUUAAGGCAUACAGAUUAUAAGAUAGUUAUAUAAUUUUUAUUCUCAUGGCUAUAUUAAGAUAGAUAUCUUGAAUACUAUGUAAUGUUAAUUAUUAAUAUUUAUAGAGGUGGUUUUAGAUGAUUUUAUUAACUUGUUAUUUGUUGCUAUUUCUUGAUUUUUGAAAAUAUGUACAUGUAAAUAUAUAGUUAAUUCAUCAUUAUUAUAUUUAAAGAGCAGAAGAAAAAAAUUAGAUCUUAAUGUGCACAUGUACCCUAAAACUUAAAGUAUAAUAAUAAAAAAAAAUUAGAUCUUAACUUACUAUAAGUAAGCUAUAAGUAAGAGAUGGUAGAGAUGGAGAAAUAGAAAAAGCAAUAAAGAAAACUUUCUGUUAGUGUGGCAUGGUAAAAGGAGCGUUCUCCUUCUAUGAGCAUCUGUUACCUAGUAGAUAUUAGGAAAAUCUGAUUUUCCUCCUUAUAAGCAACUUUCUCUUUAUACCUGGGUGCCUAGCAGGUCUGUUGCAGGUAACCACACUAUUGCCAAGUCUCGAAGAAUUUCUCUCUUAUUAUUGAUCAUCACUAUGAUAUCACAAAGCUUUCUUUUGUAACUAAUUUCAACUGGGUCUCUUGCUUUACUCUCUAUAACUUAGUUCCAUCAUCUACAUGGGUGGGGAUAUGUUGUUACCUCAGAGUUGGCUGUAGUAAUGAAAUGAAACAAUGUAUGUGAUAAGGUCAAAACAAUUUUAUGAAUAUGUUCACUUCUCUUCUCUCCUUCCCCUGACAAGCAGGAGUGUUCUGAUUUUCCAAGACAAAUCUUGGAUUAAAGGAUAGUUAAUGGAGAAUACAGUGAAGAGAAAAUGGAAAAUAGCAGGGAGUACAGACCGCCCUUGGUAGUGGAAUUGGUUACAUGUGUUUCAUUUGUUUAGGAAAAAAUGUGUCCAAAUUACUGUCUGCAGUUGUAACCUCCCAGUUCCCAUUCAUGUGGUUCUAGGGUGGGGCUGAAAUCUGGACUUGGGAGGUGGCACAUAUCUGCUUGUCCACGGUGAUUCAGAAAUAAACAAGUGGCAUAAGUCAGAUGGAACAGAGAGAUUCCAGGGUCUUUGAAGGGCCUGAGGAAGACGAUCUUUCUCUUCUGAAUCUGAAUCUAAGACACUGAAGCCUGGAACCACUCACCUCUGCAUCUUGCCAAUCAAAGAGAGAAGCCUCCUGAGAGUGGAACCAACACAAAGCCAAUAUCAGGAGGAAACAAUUCAACCCAUUGGAUCCAGCAGGGCUCAACUUUGUGUUACUGAGCUAAUUAAUCCCCUUUUAUUUGCAAGAGGAAGAGUUGGUUUAGCUAUUUGCAAUGCAAAGAGUCCUAAUUGAACAGAUGGGAUUGUUUCUCUUUGUCUUUACAUUUGUUUGUGUAUUUGUUUUUGUUUGCUUGUUUAGUACAGGUAUGGAAGUAACUACAGUGUGUGAGACCACAGAUGAGAUAAAAAGAAUAUUGAGAAAUAUUUCUGGACACUAUUGGUUUCCAGCGUGGAACCUGCCUGAUGAACUUCAAGAAAUAUAAGCAGAUGACUAACAUUAUUUUAAAAUUAGCUUUAGUGGUAUGAAUUUUACUUUUUUCUCCACUUUUUAGUACUCUAGGACUAAGAGCCAUUGUUUGUGAUUUUAUUGCUAAAACAUUGAAAACACCAUUUUAAGGGCUUUGCUCAUACCAUUCUCUUAUUUGGGAAAGUCAUAACUCUUUCCCUGCCUUCCCUGCUGCACAAGCUCCCUUUGUUCAGACUAUGCUCCUACCCAGGCUCCAGUACCACUCAGUUCCAGCAUUUCCCCAUCCAUUAAUGCCAACCUUUAGUUCACCAAAUGGGCUCCCCUGCAUGUCCGUGGCAACCACUUCUUACGUCUCUCAAUACAUUUGCCACUUGGUGAUACAAUAGUCUCCCACUAGGCUAUAAGCUCUUUGAAGACAGGAAUUCACCACAUCAUAUUUCUGUUUUUAGUACUUAUCACAGACCUGGCCUAUGGUAGGUGCAUGGGAAAUCUUCUUUUAACCUCCUUUCUCCCCUCAAAUUCACUCUCCCUAUUUACCUAUGCUAUCUUGUUUAUUGAUGGCAUCACCUCUUGCCCUGUGGUUCACACUCAGGUUUGGCUAAUGGGAAGCAGGAGAUAAAAGGGAGAGAAAGUGAGGUUGAGAUGUUUUUCUGUUGACUUUUUCUACCAACCCACCGUGGGUUGGUAGAAACUCUCUACUUGAGGCUAAUAAUGUGAUGUAUCUAUCGCCCACCAGGUUACUUAAGGGGUGUAUGUCUGCUGCCUAAACCCUAAAGGCUGGGUGCUGAACCAAGGCCCUGGUGCCCAGUGGAGGAGCAGGUAUCCCUGAGAACCCAAACAUUUGGAGAGUGUCUAAGAAUCUACCAAGAAAACUAGUCUCAUUGCUCAAACACAGUAGACAAAGAGCGAGAAAAGUAGCUUAAAAACAGUUUAGAGACAGAAGUAGUGCAGAUCUCUAGAGCUGUCCUGCUGUAGUCCAGGAGUACCCUGUAUGUAAGUUUUAAUAAACUCAUCUACUUGUCAAGCUGGACUUGUCUGAGUCAUUCUUAGGUCUCUCAGCACCUUCCCAGUUUGGGGGUGGGGGACAUUACAGUCCCAAGUCUUUCUUGUAACAAUUGGUGUCAUGAAUAGGAUCCAAGGAACCAAACGAUGAGUCAGGAAGGAGUGUGUGCAUGGGAAAUCCGGGGUGGUUUGCAACAUGCACCAAGGGUGGAGUUGCCUGACUGCUCAACCUCUGUGGGCCACCACGUGAGUACAAAGAUGCUCAGAAAACUUUGGCAGGGACUGAGCACAUACUGUAAGAAGCUAAGAUAUUAAAGUAUGGUAAGGACAGCAAAUAUGCUGUUGUUGCAAUAAAACUGGCUCUCAAAAAUUGUUACAGCAGGAAAGGGAGAAAGGGUAGAAACUCCUGCGAAAGUUCAAAGGCAUGCCAGGUUUUCUAGAACUCCAGCUGGUUAUAUAUUAUGGCCUAUUCUUGUGCAAAUUUAAAAACUGAUGGGGCCAGGCAAGGUGGCUCACUCCUGUAAUCCCAGCACUUUGGGAGGCCGAGGCAGGCGGAUCACUUGAGGUCAGGAGUUGAGAACAGCCUCACCAACAUGGUGAAACCCCAUCUCUACUAAGAAUACAAAAAUUAGCUGGGUGUGGUGGCACACGCCUAUAGUCCCAGCUACUAGGGGGGAGGCUGAGGCAUGAGAAAUGCUUGAACUCGGUAGGUGGAGGUUGCAGUGAGCUGAGAUUGCGCCACUGCACUCCAGCCUGGUGACAGAGCAAGACUCCAUUUCAAAAACAAACAAAUAAACAAACAAACAAAAACUGAUGGAAAAUUAUGACAAAGAAUUUCAGAGCUCAAAUGGUUAAUCUGCAGCUACAGCAUUAAGGAGAGUCUUUUAAAUGUCUCUAUUUCUCUUUCCUCUUCUACCUGCUUUGAAUCUGCUGUUACUAAGCUACCAAUGUUGAGAUAAAACUCACUAAUUGAAAGAUACUUGGAGAUUUUGUUUUUCUUAUAUUGUUCAACCAGUUGUAGCUAAAAUGUAAACAGUAAAAGCUCAUUUGAAACUGAAAAGGGGGUAAAAGAGGUUUUUUAAAAAUAAAACUGUUAUAGAAACUGUUUACCCAAAGUUUUGGUCCACAACCUUCCUUGGAUUGCCUAUUAGGGAAAAGUUUAGCCAUGUGAAUAGGUCCCAGUUUUGUCAAAUAUAAUUUGGAUCCAGCUGUCUGUUGUAAAAUAAUGAGAUUUGAUGCUGUCUCAUGGAUAAAGUUCUGAAGUAAAGCUAUUGGAUCUUUGUGUGUGCUUAUACAUGUUUAAAUGUGUUUAUAUACAUGUACAUGUACAUGUAGUGUUAUAUAUUGUGUCCAGCAUGCUACCAAAUUGGCUCAUAAGGAAAUGAGUACUUAUAAAUGAAAUAAGUCUGAAUGCUUUUUAGGUCCACAUGAAUUUAAUAAUUGUUAAUAAAUAAGCUAGCUUUGAAAUUAUUGGUAAGAUAAAAAGAAAAAUGUCUUCAAAAGUGUCAGACACAUUUUUGCCUGGGUUUACUCAUUAGAUAAGUUUUCUAUUUGCUUCUGCUAGAUAUUUUAAGGUGUCAGGGUUUGACAUAAAGUUGGUAAGACCCUAAACCCAGCCCUAGCCUGAAUGAUCUUUGUGUGAUUUUUUAAUAAGCAAGACUAAUUUGAUAUUGUUGGUUUAAUAAAAAUAGCUACAUUGUCUGAGUUAUUGGCAAAACACAUGUCCACGUGUUUAGCUUUAAGGUUCUUGCUUAGAUGAAUAUCUAAUAUUUACAGUCUAUAAAAAUAAUUAAUAAAA